rnacentral:rRNA from 1 species
UUAAGUCCCGCAACGAGCGCAACCCCCUGCCAUUCAGUUGCCAACGGUAAGCCGGGCACUCUGGAUGGACUGCCGGCGACAAGCCGGAGGAAGGUGGGAUGACGUCAAGUCAUCAUGGCCCCUUAUGUCCAGGGCGACACACGUGCUACAAUGGCCGGCACAGCGGGAAGCGAGGGGCGACCUUGAGCGGAUCCCUCAAAGCCGGUCUCAGUUCGGAUUGCAGUCUGCAACUCGACUGCAUGAAGUUGGAAUCGCUAGUAAUCGUGGAUCAAGCCAAGCCGCGGUGAAUACGUUCCCGGGCCUU